rnacentral:rRNA from 1 species
GAUUUCUGGCAUGGUUUGCCUGGCCCGCCACGGUUUCGUGUGUGAGUGCCGGGUCGGAUCUGCCAUCCUUCCAGAGAACGAUUCUACCCUUCACUGGGCCGGGGUCGCAAUCUGGAUCGUUUACUUUGAAAAAAUUAGAGUGUUUCAAGCAGGCAUAUCGCUGUGAAUACAUUAGCAUGGAAUAAUAACUUAGGACUUCGGUUCUAUUUUGUUGGUUUCUAGGACUGAAGUAAUGAUUGAUAGGGAUAGUUGGGGGUGCUAGUAUUGGCCGGCCAGAGGUGAAAUUCUUGGAUUCGGUCAAGACUAACUUAUGCGAAAGCAUU